AGAUUUUAGGAAUUAGACAAACCUAUUUGGUAAUGGUAUUUUCUAAAUUUAACCGUGUACUACACCGUAGCAUACAUAUAGAAGCCAUAAAAAUGACAGCCUUUGUUUAUUGCUUAAGGUAACACGCUUUCUAUACGUAAUAGAUGCUACGAGCAAAAACGUACUAACAAAUCUUAUUUUGUUAUUUACUUUUAAAUAUAUAGCAAUAUUUUUAUUUUAAAUUUCUUCUCUUCCUUAUGUAUGAUUUCUAUGAUUUAUUCAAUUAUUUAUAUUGUUGUUCAACGCAAACAAAACAUGUUUAUUGGCAAAAGGAGAUGCACAAGUACUUCGUGGACGCAGAGCUUAACAGUAUGCUUGGAUCGACGUAUGACAAUAUUGACUAUAGCGAGCAUAUCAGCAGCUUCCUUCCUACGUUGAGCGAUGUGUUCGGACUCGUUGAGCAUACUCUCUGCUUGGUCAGACUUGUACAAGUGGGUGACGAGCUCCGACUGCAAGUUGUCUUUUACAAAGUUUACGAGAAAGUGCAUCACAGCCUUCGGUACUGAAUCUUUUAUAGACUUCCUCACUAUGUAGAAGUAUGACUUGAUCAGCCGUUCUGAAAUUAAAACGUAUUUUAAAACAA